rnacentral:rRNA from 1 species
GACAGAGGGGCCAAGCGUUAGGCGGAAUCACUGGGCUUAAAGCGUGUGUAGGCGGACUGGUAAGUACCUUGUGAAAUCCCACGGCUUAACCGUGGAACUGCUUGGUAUACUGCUGGUCUUGAGCCACCUAGGGGCGAGCGGAACAAAUGGUGGAGCGGUGAAAUGCGUAGAUAUUGGGAGGAACACCAGUGGCGAAGGCGGCUCACUGGACCGGUUCUGACGCUGAAGCGCGAAAGCGUGGGGAGCAAACGGG